rnacentral:rRNA from 1 species
UACGAAGGGGGCUAGCGUUGCUCGGAUUGACUGGGCGUAAAGGGCGCGUAGGCGGUUCGUACAGUCAGACGUGAAAUUCCUGGGCUCAACCUGGGGGCUGCGUUUGAUACGUGCGGACUUGAGUGCGGAAGAGGGUCGUGGAAUUCCCAGUGUAGAGGUGAAAUUCGUAGAUAUUGGGAAGAACACCGGUGGCGAAGGCGGGUCUCUGGGCCGUAACUGACGCUGAGGAGCGAAAGCGUGGGGAGCGAACAGG